GAGACCUUGGGUUGUUCUUGGUUUCUUCUAUUAGUGAAGAGUAAUAGUCUGAUCUAGCAUUUCUGAGGGCCUUCCUAUACAUUUUCAGACUGUCUUGCCAAUCCAAACCAGAUUCUUCCAGUUUGGUGGAACGCCAUUAACUUUCAAGUUUCGCCAGGUUUGUUUUAAUUUGUGAGUUUGGGAGUUAAACCAAGGUGCUGGUGUCCCUUGCUUCAUCAUCUUCUUCUUGAGAGGAGCGACAGAGUCAAAAGUCGUUUGUACGCAGGUCGUAGCACCAUCUACAAAUGUAUCAAUUUGG